rnacentral:rRNA from 1 species
UACGAAGGGGGCGAGCGUUGUUCGGAUUUACUGGGCGUAAAGGGCGCGUAGGCGGCCUUGUCAGUCAGGCGUGAAAGCCCCGGGCUCAACCUGGGAGGUGCGCUUGGGACGGCGAGGCUGGAGUUCGGGAGAGGACGAGGGAAUUCCUGGUGUAGCGGUGAAAUGCGUAGAUAUCGGGAAGAACACCCGUGGCGAAGGCGGCUCUCUGGGACGGUACUGACGCUGAGACGCGAAAGCGUGGGGAGCGAACAGG